UACAGAGGUCUCAAGCGUUGUUCGGAAUCAUUGGGCGUAAAGAGCGCGCAGGCGGCUUGGCAAGUCGGGUGUGAAAUCCCGGGGCUCAACCCCGUGACUGCAUUCGAUACUGUCAGGCUAGAGGUAGGUAGGGGAGAUCGGAAUUCCUGGUGUAGCGGUGAAAUGCGCAGAUAUCAGGAGGAACACCGGUGGCGAAGGCGGAUCUCUGGGCCUUACCUGACGCUCAGGCGCGAAAGCUAGGGGAGCGAACAGG
rnacentral:rRNA from 1 species